UACGUAGGGCGCAAGCGUUGUCUGGAAUUAUUGGGCGUAAAGAGCUCGUAGGCGGCUUGUCACGUCGGAUGUGAAAGCCCGGGGCUUAACCCCGGGUCUGCAUUCGAUACGGGCAGGCUAGAGUUCGGUAGGGGAGAUCGGAAUUCCUGGUGUAGCGGUGAAAUGCGCAGAUAUCAGGAGGAACACCGGUGGCGAAGGCGGAUCUCUGGGCCGAUACUGACGCUGAGGAGCGAAAGCGUGGGGAGCGAACAGG
rnacentral:rRNA from 1 species